rnacentral:rRNA from 1 species
AACGCUAGCUACAGGCUUAACACAUGCAAGUCGAGGGGCAGCAUGACCUAGCAAUAGGUUGAUGGCGACCGGCGCACGGGUGAGUAACACGUAUCCAACCUACCGGUUAUUCCGGGAUAGCCUUUCGAAAGAAAGAUUAAUACCGGAUAGCAUAACGAGAAGGCAUCUUCUUGUUAUUAAAGAAUUUCGAUAACCGAUGGGGAUGCGUUCCAUUAGUUUGUUGGCGGGGUAACGGCCCACCAAGACAUCGAUGGAUAGGGGUUCUGAGAGGAAGGUCCCCCACAUUGGAACUGAGACACGGUCCAAACUCCUACGGGAGGCAGCAGUGAGGAAUAUUGGUCAAUGGACGAGAGUCUGAACCAGCCAAGUAGCGUGCAGGAAGACGGCCCUAUGGGUUGUAAACUGCUUUUAUAAGGGAAUAAAGUGAGAGUCGUGACUCUUUUUGCAUGUACCUUAUGAAUAAGGACCGGCUAAUUCCGUGCCAGCAGCCGCGGUAAUACGGAAGGUCCGGGCGUUAUCCGGAUUUAUUGGGUUUAAAGGGAGCGUAGGCCGGAGAUUAAGCGUGUUGUGAAAUGUAGAGGCUCAACCUCUGCACUGCAGCGCGAACUGGUCUUCUUGAGUACGCACAACGUGGGCGGAAUUCGUGGUGUAGCGGUGAAAUGCUUAGAUAUCACGAAGAACUCCGAUUG